rnacentral:rRNA from 1 species
AAUAGAUACCCGGGUAGUCCACGCCGUAAACGAUGAGUGCUAAGUGUUAGAGGGUUUCCGCCCUUUAGUGCUGAAGUUAACGCAUUAAGCACUCCGCCUGGGGAGUACGGCCGCAAGGCUGAAACUCAAAGGAAUUGACGGGGGCCCGCACAAGCGGUGGAGCAUGUGGUUUAAUUCGAAGCAACGCGAAGAACCUUACCAGGUCUUGACAUCCUCUGACAACCCUAGAGAUAGGGCUUCUCCUUCGGGAGCAGAGUGACAGGUGGUGCAUGGUUGUCGUCAGCUCGUGUCGUGAGAUGUUGGGUUAAGUCCCGCAACGAGCGCAACCCUUGAUCUUAGUUGCCAUCAUUAAGUUGGGCACUCUAAGGUGACUGCCGGUGACAAACCGGAGGAAGGUGGGGAUGACGUCAAAUCAUCAUGCCCCUUAUGACCUGGGCUACACACGUGCUACAAUGGACGGUACAAAGAGCUGCAAGACCGCGAGGUGGAGCUAAUCUCAUAAAAACCGUUCUCAGUUCGGA